rnacentral:rRNA from 1 species
UACGAAGGGUGCAAGCGUUGUUCGGAAUUAUUGGGCGUAAAGCGCACGUAGGCGGUUGGGUAAGUCUGUCUGUGAAAGCCCGGGGCUCAACCCCGGGACUGCAGGGGAUACUGCUCGACUGGAGACAAGCAGAGGUUGGUAGAAUUCCGGGUGUAGCGGUGGAAUGCGUAGAUAUCCGGAGGAACACCGAAGGCGUAGGCAGUGUCCUGGGGAGUACCUGACGCUCAGGUGCGAAAGCCAGGGGAGCGAACGGG